UGAUUUCGGAUUAAUGUGUGUGUUGGAAAAAGUGUGUGUUGGAAAAUGUGUGUGUUGGACAAAGAAACAAUAGCAACAGGAUGACUUUAAUUGUUAUGAGGCUGUUCGAAGAUGCUCUAUACGUUGCAACUAUACAUUGUGGUAGCAGAACUUACAUCGUAGCAGGUCGAUGAUUUGACUGGAACUCUUCGCCGGAAAAUGCAAUUUGGUGAGUCA